UUUGAUCUAUGCCUACAAGGUGCUCGGUGAAAAUCUAGGCAGAUUUCCAUUGAUGAAAUAUACAAGAAAAAUCCAGGAAAACGUGGUUGGUGAUAUGUUCAUGUCAAAGAAAGAGAAGGGAUAUCAGCGGGCGGUGUUGAAGAUGAGGCUUGGCAUCAUGAACUAAGCAACUACAUUGACUUAUACACUCCAUCUCUUCCAAUAUAUGUCUCCAAAACUUGCAGAUAUAUAAUCAUGCCACAAGGGGACGUUCUGUUCAGAGCCAUCGUCCUGACCCCUACCUUUCAAUAGUCUUUUCAGGUUUCCUUAUCCCAUUUUUCUCCAAUCUAUUUUUGCAUCUCUUUUGUUUCCAAUUUUUUCACACUUCAACAUGCAA